AUGAAAGAGGUGACUUCUUGGAGAACAUUCUUAGUAGCGUCACAGGAAGCGAUCCUUGGAAAGCCAAGGAGAUACCUCAGGUGUGAAGAAUGCUUAUUUAUCAUGAAGGCUUAAAAUCAAGCAAAAAAAAAAAUUGGUGAAAGAGGAAACUGGCCCCACAGAAAGGUUCAAGGAGAAGCUGAAAGUCAGGAUAAAAGGAGUGGCAGAGGAUGAAUCAAAAACUCUGGGAAAGGAAUUGAGCUUUUCAAGAGAGGAGAGGAGAGGAGCUACUGAAAAGAUAUGGAUGGAGAUGGGAGCCAAGAGAAAAGGGACAGCCAUGAGCAAAAAGAUGUGCCUCGGGUAUCAAACCAAGCAUCCACUAACAAAACUGGCAUCAAUUGGCACUGGUCUAGACAUGUGCAGAUCAAAAGGGCCACAGAGCCCAAGACGCUGAUCAUGGUGGACCAGGAUCAUGAAGAGCAGAGAAGUCCCGAUUACUCCUGAGGA